GUCAGCUGCUCAACGGAACCUCGGCGACCGGGUUUACCGACGGCUAUUUCAUUUCUGGUAUUUAUUUUAUCUGUCCAAUAACCAUUACGAACAGCCUCUUGUCAUAUAGUUUCAGGACACAAAUGUCACACCGCAGUCUCGAGAACACAAAAGAGGGGUCCAGAGGAACAGAAAUGAAAAGGUCUCAAGCCAAAAUGCGAGAGGUUGAAAAUGCACCAUGUUUAGAGACAUCUCCAGCAAAAACGAUGAAAAAUUUCAGACCAGCUUCUGAAGACAUGUCUUAUGGGUUUGAA